rnacentral:rRNA from 1 species
GUAACCUGCCCUCCACUCUGGGAUAAGCCUGGAAACGGCGUCUAAUACUGGAUACGACCGACCCUCGCAUGGGGUGUUGGUGGAAAGAUUUAUCGGUGGUGGAUGGACUCGCGGCCUAUCAGCUUGUUGGUGGGGUAAUGGCCUACCAAGGCGACGACGGGUAGCCGGCCUGAGAGGGCGACCGGCCACACUGGGACUGAGACACGGCCCAGACUCCUACGGGAGGCAGCAGUGGGGAAUAUUGCACAAUGGGCGAAAGCCUGAUGCAGCGACGCCGCGUGAGGGAUGACGGCCUUCGGGUUGUAAACCUCUUUCAGCAGGGAAGAAGCUUUUGUGACGGUACCUGCAGAAGAAGCACCGGCUAACUACGUGCCAGCAGCCGCGGUAAUACGUACGGUGCGAGCGUUGUCCGGAAUUAUUGGGCGUAAAGAGCUUGUAGGCGGUUUGUCGCGUCUGCUGUGAAAAUUCAGGGCUUAACCCUGGACGUGCAGUGGGUACGGGCAGACUAGAGUGUGGUAGGGGAGACUGGAAUUCCUGGUGUAGCGGUGGAAUGCGCAGAUAUCAGGAGGAACACCGAUGGCGAAGGCAGGUCUCUGGGCCAUUACUGACGCUGAGAAGCGAAAGCAUGGGGAGCGAACAGGAUUAGAUACCCUGGGUAGUCCAUGCCGUAAACGUUUGGGCGCUAGGCGUGGGUCUCAUUCCACGAGAUCCGUGUCGCAGCUAACGCAUUAAGCGCCCCGCCUGCGGAGUACGGCCGCAAGGCUAAACUCAAAGAAUUGACGGGGCCCGCACAUGCGGCGGAGCAUGCUGAUUAUUUCGAUGCACGCGAAU